rnacentral:rRNA from 1 species
CCUACGGGGGGCAGCAGUAGGGAAUUUUCCACAAUGGGCGAAAGCCUGAUGGAGCAACGCCGCGUGGGUGAAGAAGGUCUUCGGAUCGUAAAACCCUGUUGUUAGAGAAGAAAGUGCGUGAGAGUAACUGUUCACGUUUCGACGGUAUCUAACCAGAAAGCCGCGGCUAACUACGUGCCAGCAGCCGCGGUAAUACGUAGGUGGCAAGCGUUAGCCGGAUUUAUUGGGCGUAAAGGGAACGCAGGCGGUCUUUUAAGUCUGAUGUGAAAGCCUUCGGCUUAACCGGAGUAGUGCAUUGGAAGCUGGGGGACGUGAGUGCAGAAGAGGAGAGUGGAACUCCAUGUGUAGCGGUGAAAUGCGUAGAUAUAUGGAAGAACACCAGUGGCGAAAGCGGCUCUCUGGUCUGUAACUGACGCUGAGGUUCGAAAGCGUGGGUAGCAAACAGGAUUAGAUACCCGGGUAGUC